UUUUCAGCAAUACCUACUAGUGGCUUCCUCAACAAAGACCUCUGAAGAAAAGAGGAUUCGUUUCUACAGAAAUGGCUGCGUUUGUUUGCGUCAUUAGGUGAUUUUACCAAAGAGCUGGGACAAUGUGGCUGUGUUAGUUGAUGAAACACUUAUACCACAAGAGCUGUGUAGCCCAAUCCUACAGACCCCAACACACCAGAACAUAAAACAAAAGGUCCUUCUAAUAAGGAAUAAGAACGUUGGAAACAGACAAUCCAUUCCUGAACAAAGGAUCCGUAAGGGUGAUGGCUACUCGAUAGCACAUAGGGCUGAAAUCAACCAUGAUAAA